AAAAAAUUUAUUCUUGUUCGCGUGCGACCGUCGUCUUCCUCCGCCCCCAAAUCGUCCUCCAGUGCGCCGGUCUUCCUCCUCCGCGUGCGAUGCCUAGUACCAGAGCAAGAUGAACAACGAAGCUAGGUCGUCCAGUCGGCUCCGAUCUACGGUAUCGGAGAAAGGGGCACCAGGCCCAUCAUCGGAAUCGAACGAAUCGUUCUCCUUCCCUUUCCCUUUGGAGCACCAGGCCCAACAUCCGAAUCGGAAGAUCAGUUCUUCUUCCACGCGAUUUAAGUGUAUGUGCUGCCGCCGUAAUCAUGGAUUGAUGACGCUGGUAAUUUCGACUCAUUCUUCAAUCCUGUCAUUAUACCCCGUCCUGUGAUUAUGACGAUUAAUCUGAGCGUUACUGUCAGUUCUCCCUUCUCUUUCAUAUAAAUAUGUGGACACAGCCCACGUCUUUCCUCAUUACAUCCAUCUCACAUUGGACGUCUCAUUAUUCAUCGAAGAUGCUCGUUGUUUAGGUUUGACUUUCUCCUUGCUUGCAAUCAUGUUCUUCGUAUCUGGUUACAUUUUCGCAAAAAAUAUGUACCCAAAUGACAUAUUCUUGCUUCCUUACUUCUUCCAGGGAUUGUCCUCAUAUUCUUGCUUCCUUACUUCUUCCAGGGAUUGUCCUCAUAUUCUUGCUUCCUUACUUCUUCCAGGGAUUGUCCUCAUCGUUUCUUCCAGAUUAUUAUUCACGGAUUCCUCUUACCAGUGUAAUAACCUUUAUAUUAUUUGACAAUGGCUGCUGGACAUCUACACUUGCUGACGCAUUCUUUACAGAUUGUUUCUUGUUUAUUUGUCCAUUUAAACUAGCUUCAUAGUGCGCCGUACCAUGUAAUUUCCAAAUUUUAACGAACAUCUGCAUGUAAGUACAUACUUCUACCUAGCUUUCCAUCUCAGUGUACCCGUUUAUAUAUCAUAGGAUGUACCUCUGAAGAAUAAAGGACAAAGCGUUGUCGAGCACGAACCGAAUUUAACGAUGGCCUAAUAAUCUUCAGGGAGGAUGGUGUUGCUGAUUUGUGUACUGAUGCAUGAUGGACAUCUCGAGAGGAUUUUGUCGGAACACUUGGUGUACUGUUUUGUAUUUUCGGACUCCCUUGAUUUUGUACAGCAGUCCUGGAUGGUGAGCUCUCAGCUAUUUGCCUGCUAGAAUAGCCCAGUUAAUAAGGUUACUUUGGAACAUUAGAAAUUUUAUGUAAUAGCUUUUAGUGUUUAUGGGCAAAUUUAUUAACAGAUUAGGUGUGCCCAUCUUUUUUUUGUUAAAUUGCUCCUUCGAAAAUACCCUUUGCUCCUUUAGCUAGCUCUAUGUAAGAGAUGUAUAUUCAUAUUGCUCAAUUGGAUACUUGAUCAAAUGCUCAUGUACGCUAAAAUAUUUAUCUGACAUACAAUUUUGUCCUGCUGCA